rnacentral:lncRNA from 1 species
GAGCGAGUAGUGAAGGUGAGGCCUUGUUUAGUUGCCCAAUUUUGGGGUGUCCAAAUUACUGUAGCAACAAUGUAGCUUUUCGUUUGUAUUUGUGAAUUAUUGUCCAAAUAUUGACUAAUUAGGCUCAAAAGAUUCGUCUCGCAAAGUACAACAAAACUGUGCAAUUAGUUUUUGAUUUCAUCUACAUUCAGUACUCCAUGCAUGUACCGCAAGUUUGAUGUGAUGGAGAAUGUUCUUUUUGUAUAGUGUCAAAGUUAGGAUUUGGGAGUGAACUAAACAAGGCCUGAGCCUCUGGCGUCUCGCUUAGGAUUUCCCCAAACUGGCCAUGCUCUCAGGUUUUUUUAAGAACUGCAAUAGCUAGCCCACGUCCUUGAUGUGGUCGGUUUCAAUGGGAGAGGAAAAGUGUAUUCUACAUGUUCACUGUAACGAGAGAUGAACUCCACUUGCCG